GAUAAACGCUGGCGGCGUGCCUAAUACAUGCAAGUCGAACGGAAGGUUUGUAGCAAUACUAACCUUUAGUGGCGAAUGGGUGAGUAACGCGUUGGUGACCUGCCCCGAAGAGAGGGACAACAGUUCGAAAGGACUGCUAAUACCUCAUGUGGUUACAAGGAUUAGAUACCUUGUAUCUAAAGGAGCAAUCCGCUUCGGGAGGGACCUGCGUCCCAUCAGCUAGUUGGUAGGGUAACGGCCUACCAAGGCUACGACGGGUAGGGGGCCUGAGAGGGUGGCCCCCCACAUUGGCACUGAAACACGGGCCAAACACCUACGGGUGGCAGCAGUAGGGAAUAUUGCACAAUGGGCGAAAGCCUGAUGCAGCAACGCCGCGUGCGCGAUGAAGGCCUUCGGGUCGUAAAGCGCUUUUUGAGGAGAUGAGGAAGGACAGUAUCCUCAGAAUAAGAUUCGGCUAACUACGUGCCAGCAGCCGCCGUAACAC
rnacentral:rRNA from 1 species